UACAAGCUGCAUUGUACGUAACGAUAAUAAAGUUUUAACCUUUAAGCUGUAAUAGGGAGUUUUAAUUGAAGCCGAAAUGAUAAGCCUCUGUCUAUACGACAAGGAGGACGUGCAGGAAGGUUUUUGCGAACACCCACUUUGAGGAGUGGUGGUUUAAAACUUUCUUAUAUUAAAUACGGCAAAGGCAGCUACAUA
rnacentral:other from 1 species